CGACCGGCGCACGGGUGCGUAACGCGUAUGCAACCUACCUUUAACAGGGGGAUAACACUGAGAAAUUGGUACUAAUACCCCAUAAUAUCAUAGAAGGCAUCCUUUAUGGUUGAAAAUUCCGAUGGUUAGAGAUGGGCAUGCGUUGUAUUAGCUAGUUGGUGGGGUAACGGCUCACCAAGGCGACGAUACAUAGGGGGACUGAGAGGUUAACCCCCCACACUGGUACUGAGACACGGACCAG
rnacentral:rRNA from 1 species